rnacentral:sRNA from 1 species
AAGGGAUGUAACUACAUUGGCAAAGGAGGGUAACGUGACUGAUGGACCGGGAAAGUCGUGAAAAGUGAAUGUUUUAGUUCAAAGUAAAGAGUGAGGGCAUGAUGGUCUUUCGGUAACUUAUUCUAAACAUUUUAUAAUCAUCUCAUAUGUAAUGUUCCCUAGAAGAAUGUGGGUAGAAACUAGUGUAACAGUGGGAAAUGAAGUAUUCUGUACGUGCUAUCAGAAGAAACUAUUGAGCACAGAAACUUUAACUAACAGCUUCAAUGUCGAUUCGGUUUCAAUCAAAAUUCUUUUUUUUAUGAAAACUAAUACUGAUUGUGAGUAGUCAUGCUGUGAAUACUGAUUGUGAGUAGUCAUGCUGUGAAUACUGAUUGUGAGUAGUCAUGCUGUGAAUACUGAUUGUGAGUAGUCAUGCUGUGAAUACUGAUUGUGAGUAGUCAUGCUGUGAAUACUGAUUGUGAGUAGUCAUGCUGUGAAUACUGAUUGUGAGUAGUCAUGCUGUGUUUGUACUUCUCCUCGUUAGGUGGAAGACUAUGACAUUUUAAAAAACAGACUCAAAACUUACGCUAAAGAUUACAAUGAGCAAGUUCGUGGAUCAAACUUAGAUCUUGUGUUUUUUAAAGAUGCGAUGAUACAUCUCAUGAAGAUCUCUCGUAUUAUACGUACACAAAGAGGUGCCGCCUUGUUGGUAGGUGUCGGCGGCUCAGG